CCCUUAGAUGUUCUGGGCCGCACGCGCGCUACACUGAUGCAUUCAACGAGUGUACCUUGGCCGAGAGGCCUGGGCAAUCUUUGAACGCUGGUCGUGAUGGGGAUAGACUUUUGCAAUUUUUGGUCUUCAACGAGGAAUUCCUAGUAAACGCAAGUCAUCAACUUGCAUUGAUUACGUCCCUGCCCUUUGUACACACCGCCCGUCGCACCUACCGAUUGAAUGGUCCGGUGAAGCCUCCGGAUUGGCGCGCACCUCGGUGCCGCCGAGAAGUUGGCUAAACCUUNCNAUUUAUNGGAAGGUGAANUCGUANCA
rnacentral:rRNA from 1 species